GUGGGGGAUAACCAUUGGAAACGAUGGCUAAUACCGCAUAAUCUCUACGGAGCAAAGGGGGGGACCUUCGGGCCUCUCGCAUUAGGAUUAGCCCAGGUGGGAUUAGCUAGUUGGUGAGGUAAGGGCUCACCAAGGCGACGAUCCCUAGCUGGUUUGAGAGGAUGAUCAGCCACACUGGAACUGAGACACGGUCCAGACUCCUACGGGAGGCAGCAGUGGGGAAUAUUGCACAAUGGGGGAAACCCUGAUGCAGCCAUGCCGCGUGUAUGAAGAAGGCCUUCGGGUUGUAAAGUACUUUCAGUUGUGAGGAAGGUGGUAGCGUUAAUAGCGUUAUCAUUUGACGUUAGCAACAGAAGA
rnacentral:rRNA from 1 species